rnacentral:rRNA from 1 species
GACAGAGGGUGCUAGCGUUGUUCGGAAUUACUGGGCGUAAGGGGCGCGUAGGCGGUCUGUUAAGUUCGGUGUGAAAUCCCCUGGCUCAACUGGGGGAACUGCGCUGAAAACUGGCGGACUCGAGUACCGGAGAGGAGAGUGGAAUUCCUGGUGUAGCGGUGAAAUGCGUAGAUAUCAGGAGGAACACCGGUGGCGAAGGCGGCUCUCUGGACGGAUACUGACGCUGAGGCGCGAAAGCGUGGGGAUCAAACAGG